rnacentral:rRNA from 1 species
AGCAGCCGCGGUAAUUCCAGCUCCAAUAGCGUAUAUUAAAGUUGUUGCAGUUAAAAAGCUCGUAGUUGAAUUUCGGGAUCAAUAUGUUGGUCGUGCCUCGGUACGUACUAGCUUAUUGGUUUCUCCUUUCUGAAGAACCAUGAUGUCAUUUAUUUGGUGUCGUGGGGAAUCAGGACUGUUACUUUGAAAAAAUUAGAGUGUUUAAAGCAGGCUCACGCUUGAAUACAUUAGCAUGGAAUAAUGAAAUAGGACGUUUGAUUCUAUUUUGUUGGUUUCUAGGAUCGACGUAAUGAUUAAUAGGGAUAGUUGGGGGCAUUAGUAUUCAAUUGUCAGAGGUGAAAUUCUUGGAUUUAUUGAAGACUAACUACUGCGAAAGCAUUUGCCAAGGAUGUUUUCAUUAAUCAAGAACGAAAGUUAGGGGAUCGAAGACGAUCAGAUACCGUCGUAGUCUUAACCAUAAACUAUAGCCGACUAGGGAUCGGAUGAUGUAAUUUUUAAUGACUCAUU